rnacentral:rRNA from 1 species
AGAUUGAACGCUGGCGGCAUGCCUUACACAUGCAAGUCGAACGGUAACGCGGGGCAACCUGGCGACGAGUGGCGAACGGGUGAGUAACGCCUCGGAACGUGCCCAGUAGUGGGGGAUAGCUCGGCGAAAGCCGGAUUAAUACCGCAUACGACCUAAGGGUGAAAGCGGGGGACCGUAAGGCCUCGCGCUAUUGGAGCGGCCGAUGUCAGAUUAGGUUGUUGGUGGGGUAAAAGCCUACCAAGCCGACGAUCUCUAGCUGGUCUGAGAGGACGACCAGCCACACUGGGACUGAGACACGGCCCAGACUCCUACGGGAGGCAGCAGUGGGGAAUUUGGACAAUGGGGGCAACCUGAUCCAGCCAUGCCGCGUGCGGGAAGAAGGCCUUCGGUGUAACGCUUUGUCAGGGAAGAAACGCUCCAGGAUAAUACCGUUGGGUAAUGACGGUACCUGAAGAAUAAGCACCGGCUAACUACGUGCAGCAGCCGC